CUCUUUUUAUAUUGCCGACUCUUUUCGCUCUCUUCACUCAAACUCUCAAGCAAUCUAAACCCUUCUUCUUGUUCUCUCUUUUCUCUCUCAAAGUUUGUGUAAAGAUGAAGAUGGGUUCUUGCGUUUUGAAAGUUUUCUUGAUCUUGGGUCUCUUGGCCGCUUCUUGCAUGGCACAGGCACCUGGUGCUUCACCAACUCCGGCACCAAAAGCAGCACCAACACCAGCGCCAAAAGCAGCACCAACUCCAUCACCAACAGCUCCGCCAACCCCAUCACCAACACCAACGUCAGCGCCUGCUCCAUCGUCUCCAGCUCCUACACCAUCUCCAAAGAAUGCUCCAACUCCUUCACCAGUUUCUCCUCCAUCUCCUGCCCCAUCUUCCCCUACCUCCUCUCCCCCUGCACCAGCAACCCCUUCACCCUCUUCUUCUCCUUCACAGACUCCAGCUUCUCAACCUCCACCCAGUGGCAACUUCGCUGCUGCUAGGUUUGAUAGAGUUAUCCUCGCUGGAACUGUAAUUGCAGGAACCUUCUUGGCCUUUACUUUGGCUUAGGAAGAGGUUUGAACUUUCAUCAUCGGCAUAAUUUAGAUCAUUUCGAUUCAUGGAGCUGGGGGUUGAUGAGAUCUGUUAUUCUGUCAUUUGUUGGUCGACUAUUAGUGGUGGUUCUUUAUUUCUUUCUUUCUUAUCAAUACAUGUUUUUUUUUUUUUAAUUUUCAUUUUUUUCCUUCAUGUGAUUGCUUUCUCAAUUGGAUUUUGGGACGGUGAUUAUUUGGGCAUGGUGAUGUGAUUACACGUGUACGAUCUGAUGAUGGGAUGAGAGGAUGAUUAUUGUAGAAAUGGGUAUGAUGUACAUCAAAUAAAACAGUUUGCUAUUCUUUUCAAAAACAAAAAAAAAAAAAAAAAAAA
rnacentral:misc_RNA from 1 species